rnacentral:rRNA from 1 species
GAUGAACGCUGGCGGCGUGCCUAAUACAUGCAAGUCGAGCGAACAGACGAGGAGCUUGCUCCUCUGACGUUAGCGGCGGACGGGUGAGUAACACGUGGAUAACCUACCUAUAAGACUGGGAUAACUUCGGGAAACCGGAGCUAAUACCGGAUAAUAUAUUGAACCGCAUGGUUCAAUAGUGAAAGACGGUUUUGCUGUCACUUAUAGAUGGAUCCGCGCCGCAUUAGCUAGUUGGUAAGGUAACGGCUUACCAAGGCAACGAUGCGUAGCCGGCCUGAGAGGGUGAUCGGCCACACUGGAACUGAGACACGGUCCAGACUCCUACGGGAGGCAGCAGUAGGGAAUCUUCCGCAAUGGGCGAAAGCUUGACGGAGCAACGCCGCGUGAGUGAUGAAGGUCUUCGGAUCGUAAAACUCUGUUAUUAGGGAAGAACAAAUGUGUAAGUAACUAUGCACGUCUUGACGGUACCUAAUCAGAAAGCCACGGCUAACUACGUG